UAGGGAAUCUUCGGCAAUGGGGGCAACCCUGACCGAGCAACGCCGCGUGAGUGAAGAAGGUUUUCGGUUCGUAAAGCUCUGUUGUAAGAGAAGAACGUGUGUGAGAGUGGAAAGUUCACACAGUGACGGUAACUUACCAGAAAGGGACGGCUCACUACGUGCCAGCAGCCGCGGUAAUACGUAGGUCCCGAUCGUUGUCCGGAUUUAUUGGGCGUAAAGCGAGCGCAGGCGGUUUAAUAAGUCUGAAGUUAAAGGCAGUGGCUUAACCAUUGUUCGCUGUGGAAACUGUUAAACUUGAGUGCAGAAGGGGAGAGUGGAAUUCCAUGUGUAGCGGUGAAAUGCGUAGAUAUAUGGAGGAGCACCGGUGGCGAAAGCGGCUCUCUGGUCUGUAACUGACGCUGAGGCUCGAAAGCGUGGGGAGCAAACAGGA
rnacentral:rRNA from 1 species